rnacentral:rRNA from 1 species
CUUGGUCAUUUAGAGGAAGUAAAAGUCGUAACAAGGUCUCCGUUGGUGAACCAGCGGAGGGAUCAUUACCGAGUUUACAACUCCCAAACCCCUGUGAACAUACCUAUCGUUGCCUCGGCGGUGCCCGCUCCGGCGGCCCGCCAGAGGACCCCAAACUCUUGUUUUAUACAGUAUCUUCUGAGUAACACGAUUAAAUAAAUCAAAACUUUCAACAACGGAUCUCUUGGUUCUGGCAUCGAUGAAGAACGCAGCGAAAUGCGAUAAGUAAUGUGAAUUGCAGAAUUCAGUGAAUCAUCGAAUCUUUGAACGCACAUUGCGCCCGCCAGUAUUCUGGCGGGCAUGCCUGUUCGAGCGUCAUUUCAACCCUCAAGCCCCCGGGCUUGGUGUUGGGGAUCGGCGUGCCCUCGCGGCGCGCCGUCCCCGAAAUCUAGUGGCGGUCUCGCUGUAGCUUCCUCUGCGUAGUAGCACACCUCGCACUGGAAAGCAGCGCGGCCACGCCGUUAAACCCCCCACUUCUGAAAGGUUGACCUCGGAUCAGGUAGGAAUACCCGCUGAACUUAAGCAUAUCAAUAAGCGGAGGAAAAGAAACCAACAGGGAUUGCCCUAGUAACGGCGAGUGAAGCGGCAACAGCUCAAAUUUGAAAUCUGGCCCCCGGGUCCGAGUUGUAAUUUGUAGAGGAUGCUUUUGGUGCGGUACCUUCCGAGUUCCCUGGAACGGGACGCCAUAGAGGGUGAGAGCCCCGUCUGGUUGGACGCCAAUCCUUUGUAAAGCUCCUUCAACGAGUCGAGUAGUUUGGGAAUGCUGCUCUAAAUGGGAGGUAUAUGUCUUCUAAAGCUAAAUAUUGGCCAGAGACCGAUAGCGCACAAGUAGAGUGAUCGAAAGAUGAAAAGCACUUUGAAAAGAGAGUUAAAAAGUACGUGAAAUUGUUGAAAGGGAAGCGCUCAUGACCAGACUUGGGCUUGGUUGAUCAUCCAGGGUUCUCCCUGGUGCACUCCUCCGGCCCAGGCCAGCAUCAGUUCGCUGUGGGGGAUAAAGGCUUCGGGAAUGUGGCUCCCUCGGGAGUGUUAUAGCCCGUUGUGUAAUACCCUGUGGUGGACUGAGGUUCGCGCAUUCGCAAGGAUGCUGGCGUAAUGGUCAUCAGCGACC